ACAGUACUCUCUCCGAUCCUAAAUUGUUGUCAAAAUAUUACAUGUAUUUACACGUCUUUUAAGAGUAGAUGCAUCCAUAUUUUGACAAAUUUGAGACAACAAUUUAGGAUCGGAGGAAGUAGGUU
rnacentral:pre_miRNA from 1 species